rnacentral:ncRNA from 2 species
UACGUAGGGAGCAAGCGUUAUCCGGAUUUAUUGGGUGUAAAGGGUGCGUAGACGGGAAGGCAAGUUGGUUGUGAAAUCCCUCGGCUUAACUGAGGAACUGCAACCAAAACUAUCUUUCUUGAGUGCUGGAGAGGAAAGUGGAAUUCCUAGUGUAGCGGUGAAAUGCGUAGAUAUUAGGAGGAACACCAGUGGCGAAGGCGACUUUCUGGACAGUAACUGACGUUGAGGCACGAAAGUGUGGGGAGCAAACAGG